rnacentral:rRNA from 1 species
GACGAACGCUGGCGGCGUGCUUAACACAUGCAAGUCGAACGGAAAGGCCCUGCUCUUGUGGGGUGCUCGAGUGGCGAACGGGUGAGUAACACGUGAGUAACCUGCCCUUGACUUUGGGAUAACUUCAGGAAACUGGGGCUAAUACCGGAUAGGAGCUCCUGCUGCAUGGUGGGGGUUGGAAAGUUUCGGCGGUUGGGGAUGGACUCGCGGCUUAUCAGCUUGUUGGUGGGGUAGUGGCUUACCAAGGCUUUGACGGGUAGCCGGCCUGAGAGGGUGACCGGCCACAUUGGGCCUGAGAUACGGCCCAGACUCCUACGGGCGGCAGCAGUGGGGAAUAUUGCACAAUGGGCGGAAGCCUGAUGCAGCAACGCCGCGUGCGGGAUGACGGCCUUCGGGUUGUAAACCGCUUUCGCCUGUGACGAAGCGUGAGUGACGGUAAUGGGUAAAGAAGCACCGGCUAACUACGUG